GUUAUAUGCGCAUACGCGGGAAAAGGGGCGAACGCGCCGACCCGACGUGGCGCAGUAUGCGCGAGGUAGCCUUGAACGCGCAGCGACCUUGGGCGGUCCAAACGUAGGAUCGUGCCAAGUGUAUGGGUUAUCGUAGUUCCCAGAUAUUUCGUUGCAGAGAAGGCCACGUUUAUUUGCCGCAGAAAAUUAAUGACAUCCUUCGAAAAUGGCAAGCAUCGGUUAAUGUUAAGCCGUUUCGACAGUUUUGUAGGUAGGAACGGUGGCGCCACGCGGGAACGUUCGGAAUUAACGUCGACGGGAAAACGGAGUUUGAACACGGGGAUUCCCGGAUAUAUUUUCGGUGCAGAGAAGGCCACGCUUAUUCGCCGCAGACAAUUAAUGACAUCCUUCGAAAAUGGCAAGCAUCGGUUAAUGUUAAACCGUUUCGACAGAGCUUGGAGGCGAGAACGAUGGCGCCACGCGGGAACGUCCGGAAUUAACGUCGAUGGGAAAACGGAGUUGGAACACGGGGAUUUUUUUAAGGUUGCCUGACUACGUAUAUAUGUACAUACAUAUAUUACAUGCGCAUGCAGAUGGGAAGGAGGCGAUAGGGGUGCCUAGAUCACGCAGCAAACGAGGAGGUAGCCUUGAAUCUCGGCGACCUUGGAUAGUCCAGAACACGUGGUUGCGCCAACCUUUCGGAUGUGAACAGACCCUGAAUCCAAGAGAAGAAUAGCCGAAGCAUGGCCCGAAUGGGAACAAAAUGUAAUCGAAAGGAGUCCAAGUGUGGCGAGGAAUGACAUUGGGUGCACUAAUUAAUCUAAUUGUAUCUCUCGUUCUGGCCCCGUUUGGUUGAUAGGAAAUACAAUGUAUACUCGACCUCCCGGGAAUUUAAACUUCCCUUGGAAUUCAAGUUAAGUUUAAAUUUUUCGCUAGGGCCUGCGAAUUUAUGCUCGAAUGUACAUCUGGGUGAAUCGAUUCGAAAAUCAGAUUUCCCUCGAUGAAAUACCCGACCGAGUUCGGGUAUUGCCAUUUAGAUUUUACUGCACUGCACCAAGGUGAUGCGUUUUUACCACGUGCCGUUGAUUUGCUUCUCAACGAAUUGGCACACGAAUCGAGUGCAAGAGUUAAAGCGCACUCUUGCGAUGUAAUUUGGAGAAAUGAAGCAAUUAUGUUACUUGCUCAAACCACACGAGGAAUGCACUUUAAUUUGCCUCAUAAAAAUUGCCGCGUGCCUUCUCGGAGAAGUGCAAUUAAUUUAUGAGUAAUUUCAGGUCGACGUUCUGGGUAUCAUUAUUAUUGUAAAUAUUGUGUACACGUAUUUUUAAUAAUAUUUAUAAUUUACAGCCAUUUUAAACGAUUGAAGCCACAAUAGUUAAUGCUCGGAUAAUGAUAAGGAAUAGUUAAUAAUCGUAUUAUUUAUAAGGGUUUCCAAUAAUGAGAGUUGCUUAAGGGUAUAUUUGUAAUGCAUUAGAGAAUUUAGUUAAGGCUGCGUUAUUAUUCCGACAUAUCGGAUUAACUAACGUUUCGCGAAUAAGUUUGCCGUAGUUUGAUAAAUCUUUAAUGAAUAAGAAACGCGACUCGAGCACGCGACUUUUAAUGAGAGAAUUGCACGCAUGUAGUAGACAAGUACAGAGGCGGACAUGAAGGCCUUCACAAAUAUCUCGCAUAAGCGUAAUGGUAAACUUAACGGUAAAUACUGGCCAAUCAAAUUGUAUAAAAUGGAAUGUGGCGUCAAUGUUAACUAAAUUUAAUGUUAAUUAAACUAAAUUUCAUGAGUGUCUGCACCUUCCUUAGGGCUUUCAUAUUUACCAAGUAAAAUUUUAAGCGAUUCGUUACAUCCAGUUCGGGGAAAACAUUUAUAAACUAUUGAAUUCUCAAAUGGGACUUUUAUAUUAUCUCAACGCUGUAUCGUAUUCGCCAUUUAUCCCCAAAUUGGCCGGUAUGUAAUCUACUGUUUUAUUUAAGCAUGUUAUUAUCUGUAAAGAAAAUUUGUUCGCGAGCUUAUGAAACAAUCCAAUAUGUAACAGAAAGGCAUUCAUGUCCGCGAGAGUACACUGGCGGAUAUUAACAUAUUAGUUAUCGGCAAAUUCAAGAGUUAAUGCCGAUCGCGGGUAUCGAAAAACUUAUUAAUAAGCUUCCGUUAGUUAAUGUGUUAAUGCUUUUUCUGUGGGCAUGGUGUCGCCAGUGCAUGAAAGGAAGACAUGCAUGUCUGCCAGUGUACGUAAUGUCGAUUAAUGUGAAACGAACUCUUAUCACGCUUGGCUGACCUGAUCCUUGCCAGCUCCUGCACUUGCAGUGACACCCGUGCAAGACUUGCACUGAAUUUGAGUUUGAAGUCAACAAUCAGCUUUACAUAAUUACGCGCCCGCAGUUAUCUGUGUAAAACUUCCACUGAAUUUAAUUUUCCAGUCGACAAUCCGUUAUACGUUGUUACGCGUCCACCUUACCACGUGCACGAGACCCCAGACGGCCAAUUAUAACUCGCGUGCAAUGCCAAAAACCGACUUUACGUGACUGGUCCAAGCGUUAUCUCACACGGAGUAAUUCUACCGUCUCUGCAGCAACGAGGGAAUGCGCGAGCCGCGUACGCGACACCUAACAAGUGACUCGUCCGUGUGAGAACUUGACACGUGGAUACCCCUUAUCACGAUCCUUUCGAUCGGUAUCCGCCUGUCUUGACGCAACCCAGUCGCGGAAUCGUCUUACCAGCUUUCAGAGGUGGCAGACCUGCGCCUAUCGCUCGUGUCUUCGCUUAUGUCUGCACGCGCGAAGACACAUUGCGAGAACCACGUGUCAACGAACUGUUGAGCGAGCCACGAGUGAGCCGAAAGCAAACCGAAAGCGAACCGAAAGGAGACUUCUAGUCAUAAUGCGAGUCAUGAGCGAAUCGUUAGCGAAUCAUAAGCGAAUCACAAGCGAACCACAAGCGAGUCCAAGGAACACCCGCCAGAGGCAACUCCACACAUUCGACUGGCGCAAGGCAUCGUAGAAUCGUCUUGGCGUGGCGAUUCGAUCCCUCAAAUGGAAUCGCGGCGCCUGGAAAUGGAGCCAUGGCUCAAGAUCAAUUGCGACUACGUGUCAAAACAAUCGAAACGAUAUCGCCCGAGAGAUUUAUUAAUGCCGCCACGCGGAGCAUCCUUAGAUGAGGACCGCAACUGCGCGCAGUAUGUACGAGAUUAAGGUGAAGUGAAACCCCCUUCAAAUCAAUCGAUUCGAAUACAACACUUUUUUUUUAAGGGUUUUGGACCAAA
rnacentral:lncRNA from 1 species